rnacentral:tRNA from 1 species
GCGGGAAUAGCUCAGUGGUAGAGCAUCGCCUUGCCAAGGCGAGGGUCGCGGGUUCGAAUCCCGUUUCCCGCUCCA